GCAUACCUGUUGACAAACCUAUGCAUGAGUUGUAAUGGCAUCAGUUACAAUUACAAUUGAAUAUAAAAGUGCGGUUGCUUCUGGGAAUUGAUUUAGUUGAAGCUAUCGUUUCUUCUUCUCUAUCUUUUCUAUUCCACGUUGUAAUUGAUCGUUUUCUUCUUAUUGAACCCCAAGUAUCAAUCUCUCUCUCAUUUGGUUUUAUGGAAUUAGGCUAAAGUGUUUUUCUUGGGUAUAUAAAUCAUGAUAUCAUAGAUUUCAUUUAUCGAAUGCUAAUGUGGAUGAAACCCCAUAUCCUCUGCUUGAUGUGCUGCGUUAGUGCUUUAAAUACUUUUUUUAGGGUUUUUUUUUCUGGCAAUUCCGAAACUGAUGUGUGCUCUCGGACAGUGGCUGUGAAUUGUGAAAAAAAUUCGUAGGGAAAAGGCCCCAUUUUUUUUGUUAUCAAUUCUCAGUUUUUUUUUUUUUUUUUGGAUCUGAAAUUAGUAUUAACUAAUACUUUUUGAUAUGAUGUUGAUCUUCAUUUCAAUACAACGUUUGGUUCAUUUUAUGAUAUUGUAGGUUUUUAUAUCAAUAUCAUAUGAUUCCCCCUGGCUACGAAUUCUACGUAACCAAAGGCGAGCUAGGUGCUCGCCUAGGCGCGCGAGUCGUCCAAGGGGAGCCUAACAAUAAAACUCCCGAAGGCGAAACACUAUGAUCAAUUUUUUUCUUUUCUUUUCUGGGCGCCUUAGGCGCUAGGCGAAGGGAGGCUAAAGCUGCGAUUAGGUGUUGUUGGGUUUAACGAUGUGUGGUUCGAUUAGGGUCCGCUGGGUAUUUGGUUCACCAAGUAUUUGCAAAACCUACAUAUGCUAAAAAAGUUUUUUUUCUAUCAUUGCAGGAAUGUAAGGGCCUCCCCUCAAUUGCAGGCGAAGAACACUGAUAAAAGGCAAACAGACGCGGAAGACUGUCUGUGUGCGAGAUUCAUUCGUAAAACAAAAUCCACCAGAUUGGCAGGACUUUGAUGGAUUCACCAUUCUUUGUAUGAUUAAAAUCAACGACCGGUCCAUCAAGGGGAAAUGCGUUUGCUAUUCUUAUGGGUCGGUUCACACAUUUUGGCGUUAGUCUGGGAUAUGAAAUAACAUCUACGAAGAAGUAAACAAGUAGCAUCUAUAUGAGGUUUUUGGAGGCUGUUAAGUCACCUAAUCUGUAUUGGAAAAUUUUGUUGUAUCAUUUACAUAUCCCAAGAUCCCGUCCAUCCUGUUUGGGUAGUAAAAUUGGUUGUAGUGUGUUUCUUUAGGGGUGAAGUAUGCACUAGCAGCAGCAGGAGUCUGAAUGGUUGUAGUACAUAAUAGACUCCUUUUGUUAAAUUUCUUAAAAAUAUGUACACAACGUUUAUUUAACCCGAAAUAUUUUCAGGAAUGUACUCCCAGAGGCGACAGAUUAAAGAUGCAAUUGGUGCAUCAACAAUUGUCAAACAAAACAGGUUCUAUCAUGAUGCUCACUCCUAAUCCUGAAUCUAUUUUUUUAUUUUAUUUGAGGGAACGGAAAGUUUCAGAGUGUUAAUGAAUAUACCAUGAAUUAUAAGAAUUUGCUUUUGUUUACACUUUGCCUCAACUAACUACUAGCUAAGACAAUUAAGAUUUAACUCAUAUCCUGGAAUUUGCAUUUAAUUUACUAUUUAAUCUUCUGAAAAACUGAUAUUAUGGAUUAUAGAAUUGUAUAUUCAGAUUUAGUUUUAUUCCAUGGGUAAAUGGGUGAUUUAUUUGUGGCAAAGAAAGUGUUUGGUAUAGUGCGUGAAAAAAAAUAGUUGCUUUGAAUUCAAUGAUAUCUGGCUAUGGGAAGUAUUUUGGUGUUUGCAUCUCACUUGGUUUCCUAAUUCACCUAUUUUGUUUGUAAAUGUAUCACUUUUUUUUUUGAUGCCUGUAAGUGUAUCACUCGAGACUCCUUCAUGUUUUUUUUUUGUAUGCAGUCAUUUUGGCAAGUUUGUUGAGAUUCACUUCAAAGGGAGUGGUGAGAUAUCAGGUACUGCAGUUAGGAGCAUACCUAUUGGAAUAGUCAAGUGUAGCUGGAAAGGUAUAUGAUUAUUGUUCUAGGUAAAAGAAAGCUUGGAGUUGUUGUAGACAUGUGGAAGAUUGCACCGAUGAACUCCAAUAUAGACAUUGCUCGAAAGUUCAUACAAGAUAAGGAAAAACUUCCGGAAUAUGAAUUUGUGUCUCGAAUAAGCAGAAAGCCUUAUGGAGAAAAAAAUAUACAGCUAGAGGCUACUGCUUUGACGAAUAUUUUUGAAGAUCAGACAGAAAAUACGACAGGAAAGACUUUCCAGGAUGAGCUGAAUUACAGCAACACAACAGGAGCUACAACAAUUAAAGGCAUCUAAAAUUGGACCCUCGGUACAUCUUUCUACAGGGAUAUCAAAAUGUAAAUUUUAACGUGGUACACAACCAUACAUUACAAGUAGCAUAUCGAAAUGAAAGAUAGAUCUUAUGGUAUGUCGGUUUAUCCCGCAAAUAUUUUAUAGAGUUUGCCAGGACUGAUACAUAUUUUUGUUCUAGAGUUGUAGAAGAUUGUGAUAAAUAAUGUGCCAUUUAAAGAAGUUUUUGGCUAUAUGUAAUAGAAGCAAUAAAUCAUGGACCGAUUUUUAGUAAGGUAA